GUUUUUGAAGCAACGGAAAAAAGAAACGGGACACCUUUAUUUUUUUAUCUGUUGAACCUUUAUGAUAAAUUCAGUUUCGAAAGGUGCAUCAUUUCCUCCAGCCCCAAAGCAAAACAGUCAGCGGCUCUGAUUGGCGGGUUGAUCUCAUGCAAUCCUGCAGAGUUUGAGGAAGUGGUGCAGUGGUGCAGCGUCCUCCUGGCCUCCUCUCACUGACUGAUCAGCACUUCCUCUUAGCUGAGUGGACCCGGCUCUCUCCGGUGGAGGUCAUGGCUUUGCAGGAGGCCCCCCUUGUACCCGCUCUGACCUUGAUCAUCGCAGCUGUUUUGCCCUGAACUCAUGGGUCAUUACAUCCUUGUUCAGAUGUUUUGCAGCAAAUACUCUCACACGGUUGCUGGAUUCAUUAUUCUAAGAAACAUUUCUCUUGACAUAAAAACUGAAAAGGUCAUAAAGUUCAAACAAAAAUUC